AAAUUGAGCAUUGAAAUGAAAGCACAACAAGGUUUUCUUAAGGCACAAAUCUGCUCUUUAGCAAAAUUUGUAAAGUAUUAUAAAAGAUUUUGCCUUCUACCAUUUCC